rnacentral:rRNA from 1 species
ACACUGAGGCGUGAUGACGAGGCACUACGGUGCUGAAGCAACAAAUGCCCUGCUUCCAGGAAAAGCCUCUAAGCAUCAGGUAACAUCAAAUCGUACCCCAAACCGACACAGGUGGUCAGGUAGAGAAUACCAAGGCGCUUGAGAGAACUCGGGUGAAGGAACUAGGCAAAAUGGUGCCGUAACUUCGGGAGAAGGCACGCUGACACGUAGGUGAAGUGAUUUACUCAUGGAGCUGAAGUCAGUCGAAGAUACCAGCUGGCUGCAACUGUUUAUUAAAAACACAGCACUGUGCAAACACGAAAGUGGACGUAUACGGUGUGACGCCUGCCCGGUGCCGGAAGGUUAAUUGAUGGGGUCAGCGCAAGCGAAGCUCCUGAUCGAAGCCCCGGUAAACGGCGGCCGUAACUAUAACGGUCCUAAGGUAGCGAAAUUCCUUGUCGGGUAAGUUCCGACCUGCACGAAUGGCGUAAUGAUGGCCAGGCUGUCUCCACCCGAGACUCAGUGAAAUUGAACUCGCUGUGAAGAUGCAGUGUACCCGCGGCAAGACGGAAAGACCCCGUGAACCUUUACUAUAGCUUGACACUGAACAUUGAGCCUUGAUGUGUAGGAUAGGUGGGAGGCUUUGAAGUGUGGACGCCAGUCUGCAUGGAGCCGGCCUUGAAAUACCACCCUUUAAUGUUUGAUGUUCUAACGUGGACCCGUGAUCCGGGUUGCGGACAGUGUCUGGUGGGUAGUUUGACUGGGGCGGUCUCCUCCUAAAGAGUAACGGAGGAGCACGAAGGUUGGCUAAUCCUGGUCGGACAUCAGGAGGUUAGUGCAAUGGCAUAAGCCAGCUUGACUGCGAGCGUGACGGCGCGAGCAGGUGCGAAAGCAGGUCAUAGUGAUCCGGUGGUUCUGAAUGGAAGGGCCAUCGCUCAACGGAUAAAAGGUACUCCGGGGAUAACAGGCUGAUACCGCCCAAGAGUUCAUAUCGACGGCGGUGUUUGGCACCUCGAUGUCGGCUCAUCACAUCCUGGGGCUGAAGUAGGUCCCAAGGGUAUGGCUGUUCGCCAUUUAAAGUGGUACGCGAGCUGGGUUUAGAACGUCGUGAGACAGUUCGGUCCCUAUCUGCCGUGGGCGCUGGAGAACUGAGGGGGGCUGCUCCUAGUACGAGAGGACCGGAGUGGACGCAUCACUGGUGUUCGGGUUGUCAUGCCAAUGGCACUGCCCGGUAGCUAAAUGCGGAAGAGAUAAGUGCUGAAAGCAUCUAAGCACGAAACUUGCCCCGAGAUGAGUUCUCCCUGAGACUUUAGGUCUCCUGAAGGAACGUUGAAGACGACGACGUUGAUAGGCCGGGUGUGUAAGCGCAGCGAUGCGUUGAGCUAACCGGUACUAAUGAACCGUGAGGCUUAACCUUACA